UACGUAGGGCGCAAGCGUUGUCCGGAAUUAUGGGGCGUAAAGGGCGCGUAGGCGGUGCCACAAGUCACCUGUGAAAUCUCCUGGCUCAACUGGGAGCUUGCAGGCGAAACUGCCGUGCUGGAGUGUGGGAGAGGUGCGUGGAAUUCCUGGUGUAGCGGUGAAAUGCGUAGAUAUCAGGAGGAACACCUGUGGCGAAAGCGGCGCACUGGACCACAACUGACACUGAGGCGCGAAAGCUAGGGGAGCAAACAGG
rnacentral:rRNA from 1 species